rnacentral:rRNA from 1 species
ACGCUGGCGGCGUGCCUAACACAUGCAAGUCGAGCGGGAAUUUACGAAUUGAUUCCUUCGGGAUGAUUUUUGUAAAGGAUAGCGGCGGACGGGUGAGUAACGCGUGGGUAACCUGCCGUAUACAGGGGGACAACAGUUGGAAACGGCUGCUAAUACCGCAUAAGCGCACGGUACCGCAUGGUACAGUGUGAAAAACUCCGGUGGUAUACGAUGGACCCGCGUCUGAUUAGCUAGUUGGUGAGGUAACGGCCCACCAAGGCGACGAUCAGUAGCCGGACUGAGAGGUUGGCCGGCCACAUUGGGACUGAGACACGGCCCAGACUCCUACGGGAGACAGCAGUUAGGAAUAUUCGUCAAUGGGGGAAACCCUGAACGAGCAAUGCCGCGUGAAGGAAGAAGGCCUUCGGGUUGUAAACUUCUUUUACCAGGGACGAAGAACGUGACGGUACCUGGAGAAAAAGCAACGGCUAACUACGUG